GACGAACGCCGGCGGCGUGCCUAAUACAUGCAAGUCGAGCGCAGGAAAUCGACGGAACCCUUCGGGGGGAAGUCGACGGAAUGAGCGGCGGACGGGUGAGUAACACGUAAAGAACCUGCCCUCAGGUCUGGGAUAACCACGAGAAAUCGGGGCUAAUACCGGAUGGGUCAUCGGACCGCAUGGUCCGAGGAUGAAAGGCGCUUCGGCGUCGCCUGGGGAUGGCUUUGCGGUGCAUUAGCUAGUUGGUGGGGUAAUGGCCCACCAAGGCGACGAUGCAUAGCCGACCUGAGAGGGUGAUCGGCCACACUGGGACUGAGACACGGCCCAGACUCCUACGGGAGGCAGCAGUAGGGAAUCUUCCACAAUGGACGAAAGUCUGAUGGAGCAACGCCGCGUGAACGAUGAAGGCCUUCGGGUCGUAAAGUUCUGUUGUAAGGGAAGAACAAGUGCCGCAGGCAAUGGCGGCACCUUGACGGUACUUAGCGAGAAAGCCACGGCUAACUACGUGCCAGCAGCCGCCGCGG
rnacentral:rRNA from 1 species